UUCUGGCUCAGGAUGAACGCUAGCGGCAGGCCUAAUACAUGCAAGUCGAACGGGAUUGUCUCCUUCGGGAGGCAUGAGAGUGGCGCACGGGUGCGCAACGCGUAUGCAACCAACCCCCGACAGGCGGAUAGCCGGUGGAAACGCCGGAUAAUACGCCAUGGUUCCCCCGGGAGGGCAUCCUCCUAGGGAUAAAGCAGCGAUGCGGUCGGGGACGGGCAUGCGUGCCAUUAGCUUGUUGGCGGGGCGACGGCCCACCAAGGCUGCGAUGGCUAGGGGAUCUGAGAGGACGGUCCCCCACACUGGUACUGAGACACGGACCAGACUCCUGCGGGAGGCAGCAGUAAGGGAUAUUGGUCAAUAGGCGGAAGCCUGAACCAGCCAUGCCGCGUGAGGGAAUGAGGCCCUACGGGUCGUGAACCUCUUUUAUUCGGGGACAAGGACGCGGUCGCGAACCGUGUUUGAGGGUACCGAAGGAAUAAGCGUCGGCUAACUCCGUGCCAGCCGCAGC
rnacentral:rRNA from 1 species